rnacentral:rRNA from 1 species
GACGAACGCUGGCGGGGUGCUUAACACAUGCAAGUCGAACGGAAAGGCCCUGCUUUUGUGGGGUGCUCGAGUGGCGAACGGGUGCGUAACACGUGAGUAACCUGCCCUUGACUUUGGGAUACCUUCAGGAAACUGGGGCUAAUACCGGAUAGGAGCUCCUGCUGCAUGGUGGGGGUUGGAAAGCUUCGGCGGUUGGGGAUGGACUCGCGGCUUAUCAGCUUGUUGGUGGGGUAGUGGCUUACCAAGGCUUUGACGGGUAGCCGGCCUGAGAGGGUGGCCGGCCACAUUGGGACUGAGAUACGGCCCAGACUCCUACGGGAGGCAGCAGUGGGGAAUAGUGCAAAAUGGGCGGAAGCCUGAUGCAGCAACCCCGCGUGCGGGAUGACUGCCUUCGGGUUGUAAACCGCUUUCGCCUGUGACGAAGCGUGAGUGACGGUAAUGGGUAAAGAAGCACCGGCUAACUACGUG